rnacentral:lncRNA from 10 species
UAGGGAAGAAAUCUUCAAAGGAAAAGGAAACACUAUUAUCCAUGAAACCACGAAAGCAUGAAAAGAGACACUCUGUAAAACAGUUGAGGAUGCUAAAGAACACAGGGAAGGAAGAAGAAAAGGAAAUGAAAUGAGGAAGGCUGAUCAUAUGGAGCCUUGGUACGUUCCUGUGGCCCCCUCUUUGCACUUGUGGCCAAUAUUCCUUGUAAACUACGGAAGUACAGGCAUAUUUCCAUUGGAAGCUGUCUAAAUCAUCUGACGGUCUUUGUACAUUAGGCAUAUUGCGAACUGAAUGUGCUGAAUCUAAAUCUAACACGGACUUCAAACACCCUGACAAUCACCAAGGAAGAUUGACUACACCGAGCUGUUUACAAGAUGCUUUUGAUGGUGACAUAUAGAGCAACAUGUGUUACACAAUGAAACAGAUCCAGAGAGAUGGACUGACCUUGCCCAUGACUCACAGAAAGUGACCAACCUAGCAAGCCUAGGACCCCAGACUGCCAUGAAAACAUCCACAUGUACAUGGUGUGGCGGCUCAUUUACAAAAAGGAGCUGCUAUUAUUGCCAUCUUGGCUAUCUGUGAUGCUUGCAACUCAUCGGGGCUCCUCGGGGCACAGGACUCCAGGACCGACUCUCCAGCACCGCCUCUCCAUCGCCAGUUCUUGCUACUAACCGCUGCCUUCUUGGAGGGUUUUCAUUUCCCAGUGUACACUUUCAGCGCAUAGAAUGUGCAUAUUAUAUUCAAAGGUUUCCUGUCACUUAAGUAGUAACGUCUUAGUUUUCUCUUAAGCUCUCACACCCAGCACACUGCCUGACAGAGAGCAUUUGUGAAAGGGUGCAUGAACUACACAGAAGUGAACUGAUGUGAGCUUUUUAUAUGUACACCUAAAAGUAAACGUUUUCAGAAUAUCAUGAUGGAGGGAACCAGAUUGCUGUUAUCAAACACACCUAGAUUCUGCAUCAUACAACCAGUAUUUUUGUCUGGUUUUGAUAUCAGGAUCAUAUCAGAUUCAUCAAAUGAACAAAGAUAUCACUCACCAGGAUAACCAACACAUAGAGAAGAUAUGAAACACUUCCAGCAUCCAGGUCUACGCUUCCAACUGCAGCAUGAAGAAUGGACUGGAAGUAGGCAGAAGAUGAAGGAGAGGAUCUGUUAGGAAGCUACUGCGGUAUCCAGACGAGAA